UUAUGCACCCUGAACUUUUAAACCUUAUGAAGAAAUACACAUGCUUCAAUGAUUGCUUGCAGAAUUACUGCAGAAGUUUUGUUUUCAGGUGAAAUUUCUUGUCUGCUAAGGAAUGUGAUUUUGGGAGAGACUCAGCACCAGACAAUCACACUCAGAAAAGUGCUCUUUCAUCCAACCGACGCUGUUUGGAUCUCGUCUCCUCUGGCAUCUAGCACUAAUAACCCAGCAGUGGGCCAAGAGAGGCCAAGCAUUCACAGGGAAUGUUGUAAAGCUAAAGACACAUCUGCUGUUAAAUACAGCUACUGUCAGCUAUCUUGAAACAACAAUACGGCUGGAAAAAAAUCAGACCUCUCCUUUAUUUGUCUGCCAAGGAACAUUACACUAAACAGCACCAGAGAAGACUCACCAGGCACCAAACAGACUCUCCUGAAAUUCCCAUCGUUGACCUAAAAAAUCCCUGUGAACCGUACCUGACAGGUCAGGUCUCAGACUGCUGGUCAUAACAGCCAAGGUCAAGUGAAACAGUUGUCUGCAGUCAUCUGGAAGUGGAUCCUCUGGGCAGUAAACACUGUGGUCAGCUUGCGUGUGAAGCUGAGCUGGUGCACUUAGCUUAGCAUAAAGACUGGAAACAAGGACACACAACUAUGUUUCUGGCCACUUGCUGAAUGUAAGUCCAAAAUUCACUGUCCUUUUAUCUC